rnacentral:rRNA from 1 species
UACGUAGGGGGCAAGCGUUGUCCGGAAUUAUUGGGCGUAAAGCGCGCGCAGGCGGUUCUUUAAGUCUGAUGUGAAAGCCCUCGGCUUAACCGAGGAGGGUCAUUGGAAACUGGAGGACUUGAGUGCAGGAGAGGAGAGUGGAAUUCCACGUGUAGCGGUGAAAUGCGUAGAGAUGUGGAGGAACACCAGUGGCGAAGGCGGCUCUCUGGCCUGUAACUGACGCUGAGGCGCGAAAGCGUGGGGAGCAAAC